CCUACGGGUGGCAGCAGUGGGGAAUAUUGCACAAUGGGCGAAAGCCUGAUGCAGCAACGUCGCGUGAAGGAAGAAGGGCUUCGGCUCGUAAACUUCCAUCAACAGGGACGAAGGAAAUGACGGUACCUGAAUAUUAAGCCCCGGCUAACUAUGUGCCAGCAGCAGCUGUAAUACGUAGGCGGCAAGCGUUAUCCGGAAUUACUGGGUGUAAAGGGUGAGUAGGCGGCAUGGUAAGCCAGAUGUGAAAGCCUUGGGCUUAACCGGAGGAUUGCAUUGGGCACUAUCGGGCUAGAGUACAGGGGAGGAAAGCGGAAUUCCUAGUGUAGCGGUGAAAUGCGUAGUUAUUAGGAAGAACACCAGUGGCGAAGGCGGCUUUCUGGACUGAAACUGACGCUGAGGCACGAAAGCGUGGGGAGCGAACAGGAUUAGAUACCCCAGUAGUC
rnacentral:rRNA from 1 species